rnacentral:rRNA from 1 species
CGUAGUUGAACCUUGGGGCUGGCCGACCGGUCCGCCUCACCGCGUGCACUGGCUCGGCCGGCCCUUUCCUCGCGGGGAACCCCAUGCCCUUCGAUGGGUGUGGCGGCCAUCCGCGACUUUUACUGUGAAUAAAUCAGACUGUUCAAAGGAGGCCUUUGCUCGAAUGUCUUAGCAUGGAAUAAUGGAAUAGGACGCGCGUCCCUAUUUUGUUGGUUUCUAGGGACGCCGUAAUGAUUAAUAGGGAUGGUCGGGGGCAUCAGUAUUCAAUUGUCAGAGGUGAAAUUCUUGGAUUUAUUGAAGACUAACUACUGCGAAAGCAUUUGCCAGGGAUGUUUUCAUUAAUCAGUGAACGAAAGUUAGGGGAUCGAAGACGAUCAGAUACCGUCGUAGUCUUAACCGUAAACUAUGCCGACUAGGGAUCGGGCGAUGUUUCAUCAUGACUCGCUCGGCACCUUGCGAGAAAUCAAAGUAAGGUUCUGGGGGGAGUAUGGUCGCAAGGCUGAAACUUAAAGAAAUUGACGGAAGGGCACCACCAGGAGUGGAGCCUGCGGCUUAAUUUGACUCAACACGGG